GACGAACGCUGGCGGCGUGCUUAACACAUGCAAGUCGAACGGAAAGGCCCUGCUUUUGUGGGGUGCUCGAGUGGCGAACGGGUGAGUAACACGUGAGUAACCUGCCCUUGACUUUGGGAUAACUUCAGGAAACUGGGGCUAAUACCGGAUAGGAGCUCCUGCUGCAUGGUGGGGGUUGGAAAGUUUCGGCGGUUGGGGAUGGACUCGCGGCUUAUCAGCUUGUUGGUGGGGUAGUGGCUUACCAAGGCUUUGACGGGUAGCCGGCCUGAGAGGGUGACCGGCCACAUUGGGACUGAGAUACAGCCCAGACUCCUACGGGAGGCAGCAGGGGGGAAUAUUGCACAAUGGGCGGAAGCCUGAUGCAGCAACGCCGCGUGCGGGAUGACGGCCUUCGGGUUGUAAACCGCUUUCGCCUGUGACGAAGCGUGAGUGACGGUAAUGGGUAAAGAAGCACCGGCUAACUACGUG
rnacentral:rRNA from 1 species